UGGCCCAGAUCGUUUACCGUGAAAAAAUUAGAGUGUUCAAAGCAGGCAGAUCCAAUUUUCUGCCACCGAAUACAUUAGCAUGGGAUAAUGGAAUAGGACCCUGUCCUCCUAUUUUCAGUUGGUUUUGGCAGCGCGAGGACUAGGGUAAUGAUUAAUAGGGAUAGUUGGGGGCAUUAAUAUUUAAUUGUCAGAGGUGAAAUUCUUGGAUUUAUGAAAGAUUAACUUCUGCGAAAGCAUCUGCCAAGGAUGUUUUCAUUAAUCAAGAACGAAAGUUAGGGGAUCGAAGACGAUCAGAUACCGUCGUAGUCUUAACCAUAAACGAUGCCGACCAGCGAUUAGGAGACGUUGAAUACAAAACACCACCAUCGGCGCGGUCGUCCUUGGCGUCUCGGUUUCGGCCGGGGCGCGGGACGGCUAG
rnacentral:rRNA from 1 species